rnacentral:piRNA from 1 species
UGUAAAGUGCCUGCUGAGUUCUUCAGUGUGU